rfam:Human gut metagenome DNA, contig sequence: F2-X_014709.
GGUACCUGCACUCGNUGCGGCGCAACGAUGGUCAAAGA